AGACUACUUCAAGCCUAGUUUUUAGUGUCUAUCAGUUUAAAACGUUAUUUUUCAGGGGGGGUCAAAUUUUAUUUUCGCCAAUUUUGCUCAGAAGCAGAGAUACAAGUCUCAAAGCCAGCUACACAGUGACCUCGAAAACAAGCCGCUCAUGACAUCGAGGCUAGUACAAGAGCAAGACUUUUGAUUGUAUCUCUGCUUCUGAGCAAAGUUGGCGAAAAUAAAAUUUGACCCCCCCUGAAAAAUAACGUUUUAAACUGAUAGACACUAAAAACUAGGUUUGAAGUAGUCUGCAAGAGAAGUUUGGAUAAAUCCAAUUAUUGACCUUAAUUAGCUAAGGUCAAGUGGUUCCAGCCUCCUCUGCAAUGUAUUGCCCUAGAGAAUUCUGACACCAUACGUGUUGCAUUCCGCAAGUAUUGAUUGCGAUUGAUUGCGAGCCAGCUGGAAAGACAGAGAGGAAACUGAAGAAAACUGCAGGUACUCAGAACAUAGAGGAUCUGCCAAGACCCUUUGGAAAAGUUUGGCAUGCCAAUGACAGAGGGAAGGGAUACUGUUAUUGAUUACGAUUGAUCGUGCAAUCGCUGUGUAGUGCAUGACCUGAUGAUGGAAAUACACCACUACCUUAACCUCGUCAGACUUACAAAAAUUAUGUUUUGUGUUUGUAAACAUCAUCAUUUCUCCAUGCAUCCUUUGUGAUUGUGUGUAUCAUAAUGUUAAGAAAUAAG